GACGGAGGGUGCUAGCGUUGUUCGGAAUUACUGGGCGUAAAGGGCUCGUAGGCGGCCAACUAAGUCAGACGUGAAAUCCCUCGGCUUAACCGGGGAACUGCGUCUGAUACUGGAUGGCUGGAGUUUGGGAGAGGGAUGCGGAAUUCCAGGUGUAGCGGUGAAAUGCGUAGAUAUCUGGAGGAACACCGGUGGCGAAGGCGGCAUCCUGGACCAAUACUGACGCUGAGGAGCGAAAGCCAGGGGAGCAAACGGG
rnacentral:rRNA from 1 species